rnacentral:rRNA from 1 species
GUUUCAGCAGCCGCGGUAAUACGGGAGGGGCUAGCGUUGUUCGGAAUUAUUGGGCUUAAAGGGCGUGUAGGCGGCCUGGUAAGUACUUUGUGAAAUACCUCGGCUCAACCGAGGACGCGCUUGGUAUACUGCUGGGCUUGAGGCAGGUAGGGGUGCUUGGAACUCUAGGUGGAGCGGUGAAAUGCGUUGAUAUCUAGGGGAACGCCGGUGGCGAAAGCGGAGCACUGGGCCUGUCCUGACGCUGAGACGCGAAAGCGUGGGGAUCAAACGGGAUUAGAAACCCGUGUAGUCC